rnacentral:rRNA from 1 species
UAGGGAAUCUUCGGCAAUGGGGGCAACCCUGACCGAGCAACGCCGCGUGAGUGAAGAAGGUUUUCGGAUCGUAAAGCUCUGUUGUAAGUCAAGAACGGGUGUGAGAGUGGAAAGUUCACACUGUGACGGUAGCUUACCAGAAAGGGACGGCUAACUACGUGCCAGCAGCCGCGGUAAUACGUAGGUCCCGAGCGUUGUCCGGAUUUAUUGGGCGUAAAGCGAGCGCAGGCGGUUUGAUAAGUCUGAAGUUAAAGGCUGUGGCUCAACCAUAGUUCGCUUUGGAAACUGUCAAACUUGAGUGCAGAAGGGGAGAGUGGAAUUCCAUGUGUAGCGGUGAAAUGCGUGGAUAUAUGGAGGAACACCGGUGGCGAAAGCGGCUCUCUGGUCUGUAACUGACGCUGAGGCUCGAAAGCGUGGGGAGCGAACAGGAUUAGAUACCCUGGUAGUCCACGCCGUAAACGAUGAGUGCUAGGUGUUGGAUCCUUUCCGGGAUUCAGUGCCGCAGCUAACGCAUUAAGCACUCCGCCUGGGGAGUACGACCGCAAGGUUGAAAC